CUCUUUAAAUGGCAAAUCAGUUGCAUCAGUUUUGUGCCGCGGGCUUGAGAUAAGGAACUCAAGAUGGGCGGCAAGACGGCUCUAUGCUAACAUCUACUGGCGAAAUGGACGAAAGACAACUGUAAUGUUGUCCUUCAAGACAAAGCAAUGGUCAAAUACUAAUGAAUUCUCAAGUUGCUGGGAUUGCUGUAUUAUUGGAAGCAAGACUCUCAGUGGCCAACCUUCCUGAGGAUAUCUGUGGACCCCAGCAGACUUUGCAUAUUUUACCUGAGGAGUGUGUGCUGAAUUCCUCGUCUAAACGGGGUGAAGAGGGAGUCCAAGUCUAGUGCUGAAUGAUACAACCAUCCUCUCAGUCGGCAUCCCGCUGCACGCCAAGGUUCCUGACCUUAUCAUCCACCUCACUGGUUCCGGAAGAAUCCUUUCCGCCCCCUGCGGCCAGCCAAGCCCCCCGGCCAAUGGAGAGAGGCCAGCAGCAGACCAUCGACUAACAGUCAAGCGCCACAAGCAGUUAGGAGUGAUCCCAAUUGGCUCAAAC